rnacentral:lncRNA from 1 species
CAACAUGUAUUCCAGUCCAUACACAUAAAUACUACAAAACUUAUGUUAAUUAUUUUUACCUCUUUGACUUUUAAUGUUUAAAAAAUAAAAUAAAUUUAACUUUUAACAUUUGCUUUAGGAAUUAAUGCAAGAUUUAAGAUUUAAGGAUAGGUUUGCUGCAGGCAUAGUUUUAGGUAUUCUAAUCUACAUAGACAAGAAAUGAAUAACAAUUAUUUACUAACUUAUUCACUAACAAUAUUCUAAAGACAAUAUCUAGGAUGAAUAAAAAUUAGAAUCUUAAAGUAUUUACAUGUGUUAAUUCAUAUGCUUUUGUAAGUCAGGACUUCU